GUAGGAAACACCAGCUCGCUUGUUUGUAUAAACUCAGCAGCUUUGCCCGUGAAACCCCCAAAUUCAUCUAUCAAUUAUCAUCUAAAUCCACCAAAUAUUCCCAAAUCGCAUUCGCUCAGCAACAAAUCCAAGCUCUGUUUUGUGCUUCCCUUUCACCGGUUCUCGUCAUUGGCUUUGCAAGAUCCCCAAAUCUAGCUAUCUCUCACUCUCAGUAACAGUGAUAAUGGAUCUGUCGUUGAGCAUGAGUAUGAACCGCUUUUGCAUGCCGGGUGUGCUUGCACUCUGUGGAAUGAAUGAUGCAGAGACUAAACCAGUUUUGUUGUGCUCGUGCAAUGACAACACUGUCGUGAAUACAAUUCUCCAUGUUCCAGUUCACAGAGAGAGGCAGGUUAUAUCCAAAACGAGAAGUUAGAGUGAUUCAUAUGAUUCAUAGAGGGCCUUUUCUCCUUUUCUUCACAGGGGAUGGAAGUGGGUCGAUAACUGUUUGGAAGUGGUUGUAGAAGCCCUUGAAUAAUGAUAAGUCAUGUCUUUACAUACAUAUGCUGUUCUGCAAAAUAAUGGGCGACUAUUCCUAUUCUUGAGCAAAACUCUUGUACUGGCUGUAGCCAAUCAGAUCCAUUUCAUUCAUUCAUUCAAUGGAAUAGAAUUAUUUUGUUUUGUUU